AACGAACGCUGGCGGCGGGCUUAACACAUGCAAGUCGAACGCAUCGCAAGAUGAGUGGCAGACGGGUGAGUAACGCGUGGGAACAUACCCUUUUCUACGGAAUAGCUCUGGGAAACUGGAAUUAAUACCGUAUACGCCCUACGGGGGAAAGAUUUAUCGGGGAAGGAUUGGCCGGCGUUGGAUUAGCUAGUUGGUGGGGUAAAUGCCUACCAAGGCGACGAUCCAUAUCUGGUCUGGGAGGAUUACCACCCACAAUGGGAAAGAGACACGGCCCAAACGACUACGGGAGGCAGCAGUGGGGAAGAUUGGACAAUGGGCGCAAGCCUGAUCCAGCCAUGCCUCGUGAGUGAUGAAGGCCUUAGGGUUGUAAAGCUCUUUCACCGAUGAAGAUAAUGACGGUAGUCGGAGAAGAAGCCCCGGCUAACUUCGUGCCAGCAGCCGCCGUAA
rnacentral:rRNA from 1 species